rnacentral:ncRNA from 10 species
GGAUGGAUGUCUGAGCGGUUGAAAGAGUCGGUCUUGAAAACCGAAGUAUUGAUAAGGAUACCGGGGGUUCGAAUCCCUCUCCAUCCG